AUUGAACGCUGGCGGCAGGCUUAACACAUGCAAGUCGAACGAUGAAGAUAUAGCUUGCUAUAUCGGAUUAGUGGCGGACGGGUGAGUAACACUUAGGAAUCUACCUUUUAGCGGGGGAUAGCUCGGGGAAACUCGAAUUAAUACCGCAUAAUUUCUACGGAAUAAAGAGGGCUUUUAGCUCUCACUAGAAGAUGAGCCUAAGUAAGAUUAGCUGGUUGGUGGGGUAAAAGCCUACCAAGGCGACGAUCUUUAGCUGGUCUGAGAGGAUGAUCAGCCACACUGGGACUGAGACACGGCCCAGACUCCUACGGGAGGCAGCAGUGGGGAAUAUUGGACAAUGGGGGCAACCCUGAUCCAGCCAUGCCGCGUGUGUGAAGAAGGCCUUUUGGUUGUAAAGCACUUUAAGCAGUGAAGAAGACCUAUUGAUUAAUACCCAAUAGCGAUGACAUUAACUGCAGAAUAAGCACCGGCUAACUCUGUGCCAGCAGCCGCGGUAAUACAGAGGGUGCAAGCGUUAAUCGGAAUUACUGGGCGUAAAGCGAGCGUAGGUGGUUAAAUAAGUCAGAUGUGAAAGCCCUGGGCUCAACCUAGGAACGGCAUCUGAAACUAUUUAACUAGAGUAGGUGAGAGGGAAGUAGAAUUUCAGGUGUAGCGGUGAAAUGCGUAGAGAUCUGAAGGAAUACCGAUGGCGAAGGCAGCUUCCUGGCAUCAUACUGACACUGAGGCUCGAAAGCGUGGGUAGCAAACAGGAUUAGAUACCCUGGUAGUCCACGCCGUAAACGAUGUCUACUAGCCGUUGGGGAACUUGAUUCCUUAGGGCGCAGCUAACGCAAUAAGUAGACCGCCCUGGGGAGUACGGGCCGCAAGGUUAAAACUCAUGAAUUGACGGGGGCC
rnacentral:rRNA from 1 species